rnacentral:rRNA from 1 species
GACGAACCGUGCGAACGUUAUUCGGAAUCACUGGGCUUAAAGCGCGUGUAGGUGGGGCGGCACGUCGGUCGCUGAAAUCCCCCGGCUUAACCGGGGAACGGGCGCCGAUACGACCGCCCUCGAGGGACGUAGGGGGGCUGGAACUUCCGGUGGAGCGGUGAAAUGCGUUGAGAUCGGAAGGAACGCCCGUGGCGAAAGCGAGCCCCUGGACGUCAUCUGACACUGAGACGCGAAAGCCAGGGGAGCGAACGGG